rnacentral:rRNA from 1 species
UACGUAGGGCGCAAGCGUUAUCCGGAAUUAUUGGGCGUAAAGAGCUCGUAGGCGGUUUGUCGCGUCUGCCGUGAAAGUCCGGGGCUCAACUCCGGAUCUGCGGUGGGUACGGGCAGACUAGAGUGAUGUAGGGGAGACUGGAAUUCCUGGUGUAGCGGUGAAAUGCGCAGAUAUCAGGAGGAACACCGGUGGCGAAGGCGGAUCUCUGGGCAGUAACUGACGCUGAGGAGCGAAAGCGUGGGGAGCAAACAGG